rnacentral:tRNA from 1 species
AGGGAUUUAGGAUAAUUAGACCCAGGGCCUUCAAAGCCCUCAGUGAAGGUGAAAACCCUUCAGUCCCUG